AUACGGAGGGUGCAAGCGUUAUUCGGAAUCACUGGGCGUAAAGGACGCGUAGGCGGGUUGGCAAGUCAGAUGUGAAAUCCUACAGCUUAACUGUAGAACUGCAUUUGAAACUGCUAACCUAGAGUAUGGGAGGGGGAGAUGGAAUUAGUGGUGUAGGGGUAAAAUCCGUAGAUAUCACUAGGAAUACCGAAAGCGAAGGCGAUCUCCUGGAACAUAACUGACGCUAUGGCGUGAAAGCGUGGGGAGCAAACAGGAUUAGAUACCCUAGUAGUCC
rnacentral:rRNA from 1 species